AGAGUUUGAUCCUGGCUCAGGAUGAACGCUAGCGGCAGGCUUAACACAUGCAAGUUGAGGGGCAACAGGAAUAGCAAUAUUUGCUGGCGACCGGCGCACGGGUGAGUAACGCGUAUGCAACCUACCUCUAACCAGGGGAUAGCCCAUGGAAACGUGGAUUAAUGCCCCAUAAUACUGAUGAAUGGCAUCAUUUAUUAGUUAAAACUACGGUGUAAGAGAUGGGCAUGCGUGCCAUUAGCUAGUUGGUGAGGUAACGGCUCACCAAGGCGAUGAUGGCUAGGGGGUCUUAAAGGAUAAUCCCCCACACUGGUACUGAGACACGGACCAGACUCCUACGGGAGGCAGCAGUGAGGAAUAUUGGUCAAUGGGCGCAAGCCUGAACCAGCCAUGCCGCGUGCAGGAUGAAGGCCCUAUGGGUCGUAAACUGCUUUUAUGGGAGAAGAAACCAGGGUACGUGUACCCUGCUGACAGUAUCUUAUGAAUAAGCAACGGCUAACUCCGUGCCAGCAGCCGCGGUAAUACGGAGGUUGCAAGCGUUAUCCGGAUUUAUUAGGUUUAAAGGGUGCGUAGGCGGGACUAUAAGUCAGUGGUGAAAUCCUACAGCUUAACUGUAGAACGGCCAUUGAUACUGUAGACCUUGAAUUUAGUUGAAGUAGGCGGAAUGUGUAGUGUAGCGGUGAAAUGCUUAGAUAUUACACAGAACACCGAUUGCGAAGGCGGCUUACUAAGCUAAUAUUGACGCUGAUGCACGAAAGCGUGGGUAGCGAACAGGAUUAGAUACCCUGGUAGUCCACGCCGUAAACGAUGAUAACUCGUUGUUGGCGAUACACAGUCAGCGACUGAGCGAAAGCAUUAAGUUAUCCACCUGGGGAGUACGGUCGCAAGACUGAAACUCAAAGGAAUUGACGGGGCCCGCACAAGCGGAGGAACAUGUGGUUUAAUUCGAUGAUACGCGAGGAACCUUACCUGGGCUUAAAUGGGAGAUGAAUGAUUUGGAAACAGAUAGUCUCUUCGGAGCAUCUUUCAAGGUGCUGCAUGGCUGUCGUCAGCUCGUGCCGUGAGGUGUCGGGUUAAGUCCCAUAACGAGCGCAACCCCUAUCACUAGUUGCCAGCGAGUCAAGUCGGGGACUCUAGUGAGACUGCCAGCGUAAGCUGUGAGGAAGGCGGGGAUGACGUCAAGUCAGCACGGCCCUUACGUCCAGGGCUACACACGUGUUACAAUGGCCGAUACAAAGGGCAGCUGCCGGGUGACCGGAUGCUAAUCUCUAAAGUCGGUCUCAGUUCGGAUCGAAGUCUGCAACUCGACUUCGUGAAGGUGGAUUCGCUAGUAAUCGUAUAUCAGCAAUGAUACGGUGAAUACGUUCCCGGGCCUUGUACACACCGCCCGUCAAGCCAUGGAAGCUGGGGGUGCCUGAAGUCCGUAACCGCAAGGAUCGGCCUAGGGUAAAACUAGUAACUGGGGCUAAGUCGGAACAAGGUA
rnacentral:rRNA from 1 species